rnacentral:rRNA from 1 species
UACGUAGGGUGCAAGCGUUAAUCGGAAUUACUGGGCGUAAAGCGUGCGCAGGCGGUUUGCUAAGACCGAUGUGAAAUCCCCGGGCUUAACCUGGGAACUGCAUUGGUGACUGGCAAGCUAGAGUGUGGCAGAGGGGGGUAGAAUUCCACGUGUAGCAGCGAAAUGCGUAGAGAUGUGGAGGAAUACCGAUGGCGAAGGCAGCCCCCUGGGCCAACACUGACGCUCAUGCACGAAAGCGUGGGGAGCAAACAGG